CCGAGUCCCAGCGCCUUCCGCAGGGCCGAGGGGUCGUCGCCAGCUCACCGGCAGCAGAGCCGGGCGGACCGCGCCCAGGGCUGACUCACAACGCGCUCACUGCUGACCUCGCUCAGGCUGAGCUACAAGACCUGGAGCAACUCAGCUGCUUCCGAAAACGGAGAUAAACUUCUACUAAAUACCAUCUGAGCCUAUUCCUGCACAAAAGAGAGACUGAAGAAAAGAAAUUUGGGCCAAAUUCCAUAUUCCUGUCCUCUUUCAUGGCAGAAAAUUGGUCAAAGGCACCACAGUAGCAUGAAACUGAAAAGGAGUAGCAUCACCUACUGAAUGUUUAAGGUCCCUGCCCAUGCCUAUGCUGUUCUUCUCCCUAGAAUGCCUAGCCACCUAACAAGUAGCUCUAUCACCCUUCCUUUACCCACCCUCCAGUUUGAGCCCUUUUCCCAGUCACCCUAUCCAUGCUUCAGGAGGCACCGAAAGUCUAUAUAGGCAGUGCCUGCAACUGACCAGGAAGAGGCAGUAAGAGAGCAACCAGGUCUGCAGCACCUUCCUGCCUGGACUUGACUACCCCAGGAGCAGAGGGCCCAGGAAACUCUCCAAGCACUUCUCCACAGAAGAAAAUAGCUCGAGUUGAAACUUGUGUCCACAUGGUCCCCCGACGGAUUUAGAACUCAAAUUAUAGCCUCGGCAGGAAUCUUCACAAAGGACUCAAAUUAAGCAAGACCCAGAUGGAAACGAACAGGAGAAAGACAGCUUUAAGUCACACUGUAAAGUGAACUACAGUUCUAGCAGAGUCAGAGAGAAGAACUUGUUGAAACGCUAAACCAAACAGUUCAGCCUACAUUUCAGAACUCCACUUCAAGAACAUUCUCCCCCAUGUUUUUAGCCUGAGACUUGUGCAUGGACACGAAGUGGUUACAAGUUACUCAGGUUUCAAACUGAGUUCAUUCCUGUCCUUUGGACCAUCUCUCAAUGCCAGCAUUCAUCUACUUGGGCUCCAGAGAGCUCUGCGUUUGGCAAAGCAGAUAAAAUUAGCUACUGGAGUGAAUUUGGAAUCCAGGGUGGGCCAUUAAAAAAAGUACACAUGA